AAUUCAAGGGUGUGGCGCGAGCUUCUUCGGAAGCGAAGCAAUUGGAAGUGGUUCCAAGAAAAGCCUCUAAGCUUCAGUCUAACGAUGACCGUACCGCAAACCGACACAGGUGGGCGAGAUGAGUAUUCUAAGGCGCUUGAGAGAACUCGGGAGAAGGAACUCGGCAAAUUGGUACCGUAACUUCGGGAUAAGGUACGCCCUUGUAGCUUGACUGGCCUGCGCCAGGAGGGUGAAGGGGUUGCAAUAAACUGGUGGCUGCGACUGUUUAAUAAAAACACAGCACUCUGCAAACACGAAAGUGGACGUAUAGGGUGUGACGCCUGCCCGGUGCCGGAAGAUUAAAUGAUGGGGUGCAAGCUCUUGAUUGAAGUCCCGGUAAACGGCGGCCGUAACUAUAACGGUCCUAAGGUAGCGAAAUUCCUUGUCGGGUAAGUUCCGACCUGCACGAAUGGCGUAACGAUGGCCACACUGUCUCCUCCCGAGACUCAGCGAAGUUGAAGUGUUUGUGAUGAUGCAAUCUACCCGCGGCUAGACGGAAAGACCCCAUGAACCUUUACUGUAGCUUUGCAUUGGACUUUGAACCGAUCUGUGUAGGAUAGGUGGGAGGCUAUGAAACCGGAACGCUAGUUUCGGUGGAGCCGUCCUUGAAAUACCACCCUGGUUUGUUUGAGGUUCUAACCUUGGCCCGUGAUCCGGGUCGGGGACAGUGCAUGGUAGGCAGUUUGACUGGGGCGGUCUCCUCCCAAAGCGUAACGGAGGAGUACGAAGGUACGCUAGGUACGGUCGGAAAUCGUGCUGAUAGUGCAAUGGCAUAAGCGUGCUUAACUGCGAGACCGACAAGUCGAGCAGGUGCGAAAGCAGGUCAUAGUGAUCCGGUGGUUCUGUAUGGAAGGGCCAUCGCUCAACGGAUAAAAGGUACUCUGGGGAUAACAGGCUGAUACCGCCCAAGAGUUCAUAUCGACGGCGGUGUUUGGCACCUCGAUGUCGGCUCAUCUCAUCCUGGGGCUGUAGCCGGUCCCAAGGGUAUGGCUGUUCGCCAUUUAAAGAGGUACGUGAGCUGGGUUUAAAACGUCGUGAGACAGUUUGGUCCCUAUCUGCCGUGGGCGUUGGAUAUUUGAAGGGGGCUGCUCCUAGUACGAGAGGACCGGAGUGGACGAACCUCUGGUGUACCGGUUGUCACGCCAGUGGCAUCGCCGGGUAGCUAUGUUCGGAAGAGAUAACCGCUGAAAGCAUCUAAGCGGGAAACUCGCCUUAAGAUGAGAUAUCCCUGGGGACUAGAUCCCCUUGAAGGGUCGUUCGAGACCAGGACGUUGAUAGGUCAGGUGUGUAAGCGCAGUAAUGCGUUCAGCUAACUGAUACUAAUUGCCCGUAAGGCUUGAUCCU
rnacentral:rRNA from 1 species